rnacentral:rRNA from 1 species
GACGAACGCUGGCGGCGUGCUUAACACAUGCAAGUCGAACGGUAAGGCCCUGCUUUUGUGGGGUGCUCGAGUGGCGAACGGGUGAGUAACACGUGAGUAACCUGCCCUUUACUUUGGGAUAACUUCAGGAAACUGGUGCUAAUACCGGAUAUGAGCUCCUGCUGCAUGGUGGGGGGUGGAAAGGUGCGGCGGUUGGGGAUGGAUUCGCGGCUUAUUAGCUUGUUGGUGGGGUAGUGGUUGACCAAGGCUGUGACGGGUAGCCGGCCUGAGGGGGUGGCCGGCCACAUUGGGACUGAGAUACGGCCCAGACUCCUACGGGAGGCAGCAGUGGCAAAUAUUGCACAAUGGGCGGAAGCCUGAUGCAGCAGCGCCGCGUGCGGGAUGACGGCCUUCGGGUUGUAAACAGCUUUAGCCUGUGACGAAGCGUGAGUGACGGUAAUGGGUAAAGAAGCACCGGCUAACUACGUG